AAUUAUGGGUUUAUUUUUUUCUUUUUAUAAAAAUAUUUUUAUUUUAUUAUUUGUUUCUGAAAAAUUAAUUUUAAUUAUAGUUUAUAAGUAAUGUGAAUGAAUAAAUUUAAUUUUUUAAAAGAAGAAUUUAUUUUUUGUACCUUUUGUAUCAGGGUUGAUCAAAUUAAAAUUAAGAAUUUAAUUUUCUCGAAUUAAAAAGAGCUAAUUAAUUAUUUAUUUAUAUGUAUCAAAAUAUUUUAUAAUAAUUAAUUUGAAAUGAAAUUUUAAUCGUUUUUUAAUAUAUCUAGUUUUUUAAGAAAAGAAUUUAAUUCUGUUAUUAUUUAUUUAAAUGUUAAUUUUUAAUUUUUAAGUUUUAAUAAUAAAUAUUUAAUGGGAUGAGCUUUUAUUUAUUUUUUAAAAAUUUUUUAAUUUAAGUUUUUUGUAUAAUUUGAAUUGUUAAUCAUUUAAAUAAAAUAAUAUUUAUUUACUUUACUUUUAUUGAUUUAUAUGAAUUUUAAAUUUUUUAUUAAAAUGUAAUUAUAAAUUUUAGUUUUUAGUAAUAAUGAUUAAAUUAGUAAAUUUUAAUUUAUUUUGUUGUAAAGAAAUUAGGUUAUAAAAAGGAAUUCGGCAAAAUUAUUUUUCGCCUGUUUAUUAAAAACAUGUCCUUUUGAUUAUAAUUUAAGGUCUAAUCUGCUCAGUGAAAAUUUAAAUAGCCGCAGUAUCCUAACUGUGCAAAGGUAGCAUAAUAAUUAGUUUUUUAAUUGAAAGCUGGAAUGAACGAUUGGACGAGAAAAUGACUGUCUCUUUAUAAUUAUUUUUGAAUUUAACUUUUAAGUGAAAAGGCUUAAAUUUUUUUAAAAGACGAGAAGACCCUAUAGAGUUUAAUUUGAUUUUGCGUUUUUAGAAUAUUUAAUGUGAAUUUCAAAUUUGGUUGGGGCGAUCAAAAGAUUAAAGUAACUCUUUUAAUUUUAAUCAUUGAUUUAUGAAUUUUUAGUCUUGAAUUAUAAGUUUAAAUUAAAUUACCUUAGGGAUAACAGCGUAAUUUUUCUUUAGAGUUCAUAUUAAAAGAGAAGUUUGCGACCUCGAUGUUGGAUUAAAAUAAAUUCUUGGUGUAGAAGCUAAGAAAUUAAGUCUGUUCGACUUUUAAAAUUUUACAUGAUCUGAGUUUAAACCGGUGUGAGCCAGGUUGGUUUCUAUCUUUAAAUUAAUAUAAUGUUUUAGUACGAAAGGACCAAACAUUGAAUAUUUUAUUUUUUAUUUGAAUAAAAUUA
rnacentral:rRNA from 1 species